UUCCUAGGAUGCAUCCUUCGAAUGCGUCGACGCCGAUUGCGUCACAGCGACGCGCCAAGUGCUGUCCCAAUUCCAAGGGUCCUUCAAAUGCGGCCUACGAAUGCAGCCUGCUUUUCCCGGAUUUCAAGGAUGCAUCGGCUGUAUCCUUCACGGCCCAACGUAUCCCAAGAUCCUUCACGGCCCAACGUAUCCCUCCCAAGAUUCAUUGCGCAUUCAAUCAAAAAAAUAAAACCGACAGAAACAAUGGCGGAGAAUGUCGAUUUGAGUUUUUCAUUUAAAUGGAGCCAGCAGCAUACUGCUCAAUUUAUUAAACUGGGGUUGAAACAUUCAGCGAAUGUGGCUUGGGGGACAAUUCUGGAGAAAAUAGGCCUGCAGGGGAAGGUGACUCCCCUGCAGGCAUAGAAAAAAUGGGAUAAUUUAAAAAAAUAUGUAUAAAGAUUGCAAGUAUCCAGGGUCAGGAGAGGGGGUAGGUGGGAAACCCACUGCUGCCACUUGGCCCUGGUUUGUCCUCAUGGAUGAGGUAUUGGGACAGAGGCAUUCCACCAACCCCCCUGUCCUAAUUGCCUCCAUCCCUGAGAACACACCAGGGCCAAGUACAGCAGUGGUGGAUCAGGAGGUGGAGGACAAGGAUGAGGAGGAAAGACAGCGGCCAAGGUCCAGAAAGAGGGACAGAGAGGACGAAAUGUUCCAAUUGAUCAAAGAGGACAUGAGGCUAAAUAGGGAGGCAGAGGAGAGAAGAGCCCAGGAGAGCAGGGAGAGGAUGGAUCGAUUUUUUUCAAUUUUGGAGCGUUUGGUUGACAAAUAAUUUCAGUUCUGU
ensembl:lncRNA